UGCAGAGCCAUUCUUCGCAGCUGCACCUCAUCCACAUGAUUCACUCCAGCAAUAUUUAAACCCGGGCUGAUCACCUCUUCGGCGCCAGUUCGUUAUCUACUACCCAUGUGACCUGCUGCUUCCUCUGCUGCGCCUACUAGCUCCUGGCCUCACCACCCAGCCUUCACCGUCAGCUCUCCCCCAGCUUCGGACCUGCCUACACUGUUUUCUCAUACAACCCUGGCUCUCCAUUAAAACCUUUAUUUUUGAAUCUA